GACGAACGCUGGCGGCGUGCUUAACACAUGCAAGUCGAACGGUAAGGCCCUUCGGGGUACACGGGUGGCGAACGGGUGAGUAACACGUGGGUGAUCUGCCCUGCACUUCGGGAUAAGCCUGGGACACUGGGUCUAAUACCGGAUAGGACUCCGGACUGCAUGGUCUGGGGUGGAAAGCUUUUGCGGUGUGGGAGGGGCCCGCGGCCUAUCAGCUUGUUGGUGGGGUGAUGGCCUACCGAGGCGACGACGGGGAGCCGGCCUGAGAGGGUGACCGGCGACGCUGGGACUGGGAUACGGCCCAGACUCCUCCGGGAGGCAGCAGUGGGGAAUAUUGCACAAUGGGCGCAAGCCUGAUGCAGCGACGCCGCGUGAGGGAUGACGGCCUUCGGGUUGUAAACCUCUUUCAGCAUCGACGAAGCGAAAGUGACGGUAGGUGCAGAAGAAGGACCGGCCAACUACGUGCCAGCCGCCGCCGUAA
rnacentral:rRNA from 1 species